rfam:Gossypium arboreum cultivar AKA8401 contig_50020_1, whole genome shotgun sequence.
AAUCCAUGGUGAGGGCACCUUCUCAAUAAGUCUUUAUACCUCUCUCAUGCAACAUAUAAAGUCUCUAAAUCAAACUACACAAAGGAAGAGAUCUCAUUCCUCAACUU